rnacentral:rRNA from 1 species
UACGUAGGGGGCAAGCGUUGUCCGGAUUUAUUGGGCGUAAAGGGCGCGUAGGCGGCUCGGCACGUCCGUUGUGAAAUCGCCCGGCUCAACUGGGCGGGGUCAGCGGAUACGGUCGAGCUUGAGCAAGCUAGGGGGUAAUGGAAUUCCCGGUGUAGUGGUGGAAUGCGUAGAUAUCGGGAGGAACACCAGUGGCGAAGGCGGUUACCUGGGGCUUUGCUGACGCUGAUGCGCGAAAGCGUGGGGAGCGAUCCGG